GUUCCUUGGAUUGAAGAUUCUUGGUUCUGAGAUCAUUCAGGAGACUGGGGUUCCCUCUUGUGCAUGUGCCAUGUUGUUUAUAUAAAAUAACUCCAGGUUUGUUUAAUCAACAACCAACUUAAAGAGUAAAACAUUAUUACACAAAAGCUCUGAGUGAUCAAGCCUCAUCGCUGGCCAGGGAUUGAAUUCUUCUCCUCCGGAGGCCAAGAAUCCCAGAAUCUUUUGUGGUUCAGCAGCAACCUUUCAUCUUGGGGGCUUGUCCGGGUUUCUUCAGGACAAGAUCUUCUCAGAGUUUUUGGUACAUUGUGCAUCUCCAGGAGGACCACACGAUAUGAAACUUUUCUGAAACAUGCUUUCUUAGAAGGCUUUAUUUUUGUGUAAAUCUAGCAUCCUGAGAAUCAUAGUUGGGGACUACUGUGAUGGAAGAAGAUAAGCCGGUACAUGAAACAAGUAAGAAAAUCUUGGCUCACAGAGAAGGGACUUUAGAAAUUCAUCUGGCCAUUUCUCAACUUUCAUUAAGGAAGGUGUUGUCAAUGACACAAUUCAAGACACACAUGGAGAACUGAAAAUAGGACCUUGGUCUUCUUUCGUGUAAGACAGCACUCUACUACAUGGUAAUAUUUUCUGUAAAUGCUUAAGUAAGCAUUGUAAAAAUUGUAUUAACUAUACUCUGUUAUGGAGAAGGAAAUGGCAACCCACUCCAGUGUUCUUGCCUGGAGAAUCCCAGGGACGGGGGAGCCUGGUGGGCUGCUGUCUGUGGGGUCGCACAGAGUCGGACACGACUGAAGUGACUUAGCAGCAGCAGCAGGCUCCGUUAACUCUAGCGUAUGACCUGUAGCAUUACAUUUUAUGGCAUUACAUUUACUUUUUGAUUUUUUCUUUAAAACGUUUUUGAUUUUUUCUUUAUAGAAUAAAUACAAGGUGGUUAGGUUUUAUGGUUGGAAGUUAGCCUAUUUUUAUACAAAUUUCCUAAACUACAAGUUCCAUCAGAGUUAAAUAGUUACCUUUUGGUAUACUUUUCUUUUUGUCAUAUCCCUACUGAUGUUGAUCCCCAAGUCAUAUUUUAAAGGUUAACUCUCUAUUUUUCUUCAUUUCUAUCUGCUUGGGAUAAUUCUGAAGGAAAAAAGAACUUAAAUUGAAAAACGAGUCCUAUCUAUAGUAACAACUCACUUAAAUUUGGGGGAAAAGAAGAAAUUAUGAGGCAAAUCUUACAUAAGCAUCAUGAGGAUUAAUGGAGUUAAUAUACAUAAAUUGAUUGGAACAUUACUAGCAUAAACACUAUAUAUAAGAGUUUGUUAAACAAAUGAAAUAAAAAAUUUAAAAAGCAAGUAAGACAUUGGUGAAGUGAUGACCAUUUCCUAUCUACUCUCCAAUAAAUACAAAUUCCACAGAGGACUCCAAGAGAAUAAGUAGUUUUCUGCUUUUUAUAGUAAAGAAAGAAGAGUCUUUUGAUGCUAUUUUUUUUUUUAUGCUAUUUUUUAUAACCAAGGAAAAAAC